AAGGAUCAUUACAGAGUUCAUGCCCUCACGGGUAGAUCUCCCACCCUUGAAUAUUAUACCUUAGUUGCUUUGGCAGGCCGGGGCAACCCCCGGGGCUUCGGCCUUGGUGUGCCUGCCAGAGGAAACAAACUCUGUUUUUAGUGAUGUCUGAGUACUAUAUAAUAGUUAAAACUUUCAACAACGGAUCUCUUGGUUCUGGCAUCGAUGAAGAACGCAGCGAAAUGCGAUAAGUAAUGUGAAUUGCAGAAUUCAGUGAAUCAUCGAAUCUUUGAACGCACAUUGCGCCCCGUGGUAUUCCGCGGGGCAUGCCUGUUCGAGCGUCAUUUCAACCCAUCAAGCUUCGGCUUGGUCUUGGGGCCUGCGAUUCCGCAGCCUCUAAACCCAGUGGCGGUGCCUCCGAGCUCUGAGCGUAGUAAUUCUUCUCGCUAUAGGGUCUCGGUGGUGUCUUGCCAGUAACCCCCAAUUUUUUACAGGUUGACCUCGGAUCAGGUAGGGAUACCCGCUGAACUUAAGCAUAUCAAUAAGCGGAGGAAAAGAAACCAACAGGGAUUACCUCAGUAACGGCGAGUGAAGCGGUAACAGCUCAAAUUUGAAAUCUGCCGCGAGGCCGAGUUGUAAUUUGUAGAAGAUGCUUUGGGUAUGGCCCCGGUCUAAGUUCGUUGGAACACGACGUCAUAGAGGGUGGGAAUCCCGUAUGUGACUGGGUGCUUUUGCCUAUGUAAAGCUCUUUCGACGAGUCGAGUUGUUUGGGAAUGCAGCUCAAAAUGGGUGGUAUAUUUCAUCUAAAGCUAAAUAUUGGCCAGAGACCGAUAGCGCACAAGUAGAGUGAUCGAAAGAUGAAAAGCACUUUGGAAAGAGAGUUAAACAGUACGUGAAAUUGUUGAAAGGGAAGCGCUUGCAACCAGACUUGCACGCUGUUGAUCAUCCAGGCUUCUGUCUGGUGCACUCGGCAGCGUUCAGGCCAGCAUCGGUUCUGGUGGUGGGAUAAAGGCCUUGGGAAUGUAGCUUCUUUCGGGGAGUGUUAUAGCCCUCGGUGCAAUGCCGCCUAUCGGGACCGAGGACCGCGCUUCGGCUAGGAUGCUGGCGUAAUGGUUGUAAGCGACC
rnacentral:rRNA from 1 species